AGGCAGUGUCACAGGAGAAAAGCCUACGACCUCAUUCAAUAGAAGCUUUAAGGGAGACAGACAACCUUCCUAGGAGACAGACCGGAGUAUUGAAGGCUAGGCUCAAGAAGAGUGCGCAGCCCUGGAGAAACAGGAUUAAAAGCCUGGGGUUAGCGUUGCACCCAGGCGAGGAGCUCAGCAAGGCCUGCCUUGGGGUUCCCCGUAUUCGGAGAUAAGGCGUUAAGGGCCUGGGCCAUUACCAGCCUGUGUGCCAACCUUGGCUGUAGGACUUCAGCCGCACAAAGACAAGGAAGGACAAGGACAGACGAGACGGGAAGAGACAGCAGUAGGUCUUCUGGCUGUGAUCGGUUUUGCAGCAGCACGGCCUGGACGAUGGUCGCGCCGCCCAGCAGCUUGUGCAGCUGGGGAUCAUAGCGGGUGGCCAGUUGCAGGCUGAUUGGAUGAUGCGCGCCCUCUUGCCUGCGUGCACCUCGCAGCCCUGCAAGUCUUGGUUACAUGCCUCCCAGUCAGUCGCCGGCCAGAGAGCUUUAUAUUCCGGGAGCGCCGCCACCACUGGAUGCUGUAUUCAUCAAUGGGGUGUGGGGACUUGCGUCCCUGGAUUCUCAUUGGCUGCUGUGCGACGCCAUGUCCUGCGCUUUGUCCAAUCAGACGAGAUCUGGAAAGUCGCUUCAUUUGCAUACAGCCCGGGAGUGCGGUCCUAGCUGAGCUCCUAGCUGGGCUAAAGCGCUCUGAAGGCGCGUGCUUUGGAGACGCCUGAGGCUCUCCGGCCUCCCGGUCGCCCCUGCGGGCGUGUCUGGCAUAGGAAUGGGCCUUUUGGCUCGGGCACACUCCUCAGGCCCCCGUUCACGCUCCGGUUUCCUCCGAAGUUGCUGACCCCGGCUGGCAGGCGGGGUGCGCGGUGACCCCGCAAGCCCGCGGCAAGAGGAGGCCUGCAGCGAGCACAGAAACAAGGAGCACUAGAGCGGCUGGGCUGGACUUCCCAGAGUGUCGCCUACAUCCUGGUCGCCAUGGCACCGGCCAGGCGCUGCGCCCCAGCUGUGCGCUCUCCUCCACCGGGGUACGAGGGCCCGCUCGGUCACAGGAGGCGAAGAGGUGGCGCUUCGGAGCCUCGCAGUCAGAAUAAAAUUCCUCAAGGAACUAGCCUUCCCUGAGAAGAUGCUGGGCAUGCACUGUGCCAGGUCUUUGGAUGCUCUGGGGACAGCGGCUCUGGUAGACCAGGGAGGCCCAGGGCAGGGGGCUUCUGGAAGCAGCUGCCGCUGGGGACCGCUGCCUGGCUUGGAGUCUUUUCAAGACAGGAAAGAAGGAAAAAGAAGACAUUCCAAAGAGGAUGGGCAGAGGAAGGUCCCCAGAAAUCUGCAUGGUGUGUGGUGGGCCAGAGACCCGUGGAGUCUGUAGGUCUGGACCAGUAUACAUGCACAUUAGAGUCGAUGUUCUCUGUUCAUUUACUGCAGCCCCCAACACCUUCCAGGAUGUGCACAGCUGUCAUAUUCCAAAAGCUUCUCAGGAUUUUCCCCCCCAAACACGCACAGGCACCCACACACUUGAUGAAGAGCCAGUUACAGAAAUCCGAGUGACUUACGCCACCCUGGAACUGACUUCCUUCCCAGGCGUGAAGUCCUGUGUUAGGUAGGGACCCCCAGUGUCUGCUGGGUCACCUUGGUGCCUUUUCUUCUGCUUUGCUGUCACUUCCUUUAUCUUCAUUGCCCUCCCCAAAGGCACCUACUCAGACAGAUACCACUCACCAGUUUUUGGAGUGUCCUGCAACCUUGAAUUGUUUGGCAUGCACACAUUUUAAGUUUCAGUAAAAAGUCCGUCCUGUU